GCCCGUUUGGCACAGUGGUAAUGCGUCUCACUCGUAACUCGAUGUGACGGCAAUGAGAAGAUCCGCGGUUCGAUUCCGCGAAUGGGCA